CCUACGGGAGGCAGCAGUGAGGAAUAUUGGUCAAUGGACGCGACUCUGAACCAGCCAAGUAGCGUGCAGGAUGACGGCCCUAUGGGUUGUAAACUUCUUUUAUACGGGAAUAAACUGCUUCACGUGUGGCUUUUUGCACGUACCUCAUGAAUACGGACCGGCUAACUCCGUGCCAGCCGCCGCGGUAAUACGGUGGGUCCGAGCGUUAUCCGGAUUUAUUGGGUUUAAAGGGAGCGCAGGGGGACUGUUAAGCCGGGUGUGAAAUGCCGCGGCUCAACCGUGACAAUGCCGUUGAAACUGGGGGGCUGGAGUGCAGUGGAGGUAGGCGGAAUUCGAUGUGUAGCGGUGAAAUGCUUAGAUAUCACGAAGAACACCGAUGGCGAAGGCAGCGAACUGGAGUGCAACUGACGCUGAGGCUCGAAAGUGUGGGUAGCAAACAGGAUUAGAUACCCGUGUAGUC
rnacentral:rRNA from 1 species